UACAGAGGUCCCGAGCGUUGUUCGGAAUUACUGGGCGUAAAGGGUGCGUAGGCGGUGGGGUAAGUUUGAGGUGAAAGCUCCGGGCUCAACCCGGAAACUGCCUUGAAAACUAUCCGGCUAGAGGGUUGGAGGGGAGACUGGAAUUCUCGGUGUAGCAGUGAAAUGCGUAGAUCUCGAGAGGAACACCAGUGGCGAAGGCGGGUCUCUGGACAACACCUGACGCUGAGGCACGAAAGCCAGGGGAGCAAACGGG
rnacentral:rRNA from 1 species